AGUGAACGCUGGCGGUAGGCCUAACACAUGCAAGUCGAACGGCAGCACAGAGGAGCUUUGCUCCUUGGGUGGCGAGUGGCGGACGGGUGAGGAAUACAUCGGAAUCUACUCUGUCGUGGGGGAUAACGUAGGGAAACUUACGCUAAUACCGCAUACGACCUACGGGUGAAAGCAGGGGAUCUUCGGACCUUGCGCGAUUGAAUGAGCCGAUGUCGGAUUAGCUAGUUGGCGGGGUAAAGGCCCACCAAGGCGACGAUCCGUAGCUGGUCUGAGAGGAUGAUCAGCCACACUGGAACUGAGACACGGUCCAGACUCCUACGGGAGGCAGCAGUGGGGAAUAUUGGACAAUGGGCGUAAGCCUGAUCCAGCCAUACCGCGUGGGUGAAGAAGGCCUUCGGGUUGUAAAGCCCUUUUGUUGGGAAAGAAAUCCAGCUGGCUAAUACCCGGUUGGGAUGACGGUACCCAAAGAAUAAGCAC
rnacentral:rRNA from 1 species